GGGGUUGUGGCUUGAGGGUAGAGUACUCGCCUACCAGGCAUGAGGCGCUGAGUUCGAUCCUCAGCACCACA
rnacentral:tRNA from 1 species